GCUUCUUUAGCGCAGCUGGCAGCGCGUUAGUCUCAUAAUCUGAAGGUCGCCAGUUCGAUCCUGGCAGGGAGCA
rnacentral:tRNA from 1 species